rnacentral:rRNA from 1 species
GCUCUACACCCUUUGUGACAUACCUAUAACUGUUGCUUCGGCGGGUAGGGUCUCCGCGACCCUCCCGGCCUCCCGCCUCCGGGCGGGUCGGCGCCCGCCGGAGGAUAACCAAACUCUGAUUUAACGACGUUUCUACUGAGUGGUACAAGCAAAUAAUCAAAACUUUUAACAACGGAUCUCUUGGUUCUGGCAUCGAUGAAGAACGCAGCGAAAUGCGAUAAGUAAUGUGAAUUGCAGAAUUCAGUGAAUCAUCGAAUCUUUGAACGCACAUUGCGCCCGCCAGCAUUCUGGCGGGCAUGCCUGUUCGAGCGUCAUUUCAACCCUCAAGCUCUGCUUGGUGUUGGGGCCCUACAGCUGAUGUAGGCCCUCAAAGGUAGUGGCGGACCCUCUCGGAGCCUCCUUUGCGUAGUAACUUUACGUCUCGCACUGGGAUCCGGAGGGACUCUUGCCGUAAAACCCCCAAUUUUCCAAAGGUUGACCUCGGAUCAGGUAGGAAUACCCGCUGAACUUAAGCAUAUCAAUAAGGCGGAGGAA